GAUGAACGCUGGCGGCGUGCCUAAUACAUGCAAGUCGAGCGAACAGACGAGGAGCUUGCUCCUCUGACGUUAGCGGCGGACGGGUGAGUAACACGUGGAUAACCUACCUAUAAGACUGGGAUAACUUCGGGAAACCGGAGCUAAUACCGGAUAAUAUAUUGAACCGCAUGGUUCAAUAGUGAAAGACGGUUUUGCUGUCACUUAUAGAUGGAUCCGCGCCGCAUUAGCUAGUUGGUAAGGUAACGGCUUACCAAGGCAACGAUGCGUAGCCGACCUGAGAGGGUGAUCGGCCACACUGGAACUGAGACACGGUCCAGACUCCUACGGGAGGCAGCAGUAGGGAAGCUUCCGCAAUGGGCGAAAGCCUGACGGAGCAACGCCGCGUGAGUGAUGAAGGUCUUCGGAUCGUAAAACUCUGUUAUUAGGGAAAAACAAAUGUGUAAGUAACUAUGCACGUCUUGACGGUACCUAAUCAGAAAGCCACGGCUAACUACGUG
rnacentral:rRNA from 1 species